GGUUCUAUAGUGUAUUACACUGUGUAACGGUUAGCACUCCAGACUCUGAAUCUGGCGAUCUGGGUUCAAAUCCCGGUAGAACCU
rnacentral:tRNA from 1 species